rnacentral:rRNA from 1 species
AGUAGUCAUAUGCUUGUCUCAAAGAUUAAGCCAUACAUGUGUAAGUAUGAACUAUUUCAUACUGUGAAACUGUGAAUGGCUCUUUAAAUCAGUUAUAGUUUGUUUGAUGGUACGUGCUACUUGGAUAACAGUAGUAAUUCUAGAGCUAAUAUGUGCAACAAACCCUGACUUCUUGAAGGGAUGCAUUUAUUAGAUAAAAGGCUGACGCGGGCUUUGCCCACUGCUCCGAUGAUUCAUGAUAACUCGACGGAUUGCACGGCCCUCGUGACGGCGAUGCAUCAUUCAAAUUUCUGCCCUAUCAACUUUCGAUGGUAGGAUAGGGGCCUACCAUAGUGGUGACGGGUGACGGAGAAUUAGGGUUCGAUUCUGGAGAGGGAGCUUGAGAAACGGCUCCACAUCCAAGGAAGGCAGCAAGCGUGCAAAUUACCCAAUCCUGACACGGGGAAGUAGUGACAAUAAAAAACAAUACCGGGCUCUUCGAGUCUGGUAAUUGGAAUGAGUACAAUCUAAAUCCCUUAACGAGGAUCCAUUGGAGGGCAAGUCUGGUGCCAGCAACAGCGGUAAUUCCAACUCCAAUAGCGUAUAUUUAAGUUGUUGCAGUUAAAAAGCUCGUAGUUGGACUUUGGGACGGGUCAGUCAGUUCGCCUCACGGUGUGCAUCGAUCAUCCCAUCCCUUCUAUUGGUGAUGCAUGCCUGGCCAUAAUUGGUCAGGUCAUGCCUCUGGCGCUGUUACUUUGAAAAAAUUAGAGUGCUUAAAGUAAGCCCAUGCUCUGGAUACAUUAGCAAGGGAUAACAUCACAGGAUUUCGGUCCUAUUGUGUUGGCCUUCAGGAUCGGAGUAAUGAUUAAGAGGGACAGUCGGGGGCAUUCGUAUUUCAUAGUCAGAGGUGAAAUUCUUCGAUUUAUGAAAGACGAACCACUGCAAAAGCAUUUGCCAAGGAUGUUUUCAUUAAUCAAGAAAAGUUGGGGAUCGAAGACGAUCAGAUACCGUCGUAGUCUCAACUAUAAACGAUGCCGACCAGGGAUCGGCGGAUGUUGCUCUUAGGACUCUACCGGCACCUUAUGAGAAAUCAAAGAAUUUGGGUUCCGGGGGGAGUAUGGUCGCAAGGCUGAAACUUAAAAGAAUUGACGGAAGGGCACCACAAGGAGUGGAGCCUGCGGCUUAAUUUGACUCAACAUGGGGAAACUUACCAGGUCCAGAGAUAGCAAGGAUUGACAGACUGAGAGCUCUUUCUUGAUUCUAUGAGUGGUGGUGCAUGGUCAUUCUUAGUUGGUGGAGCGAUUUGUUUGGUUAAUUCUGAUAACGAACGAGACCUCAGCCUGCUAACUAGCUACGCGGAGGCAUCCCUCCGCGGCCAGCUUCUUAGAGGGACUAUGGUCAUUUAGGCCACGGAAGUUUGAGGCCAUAACAGGUCUGUGAUGCCCUUAGAUAUUCUGGGCCGCUGAUAGAAAACCCUUGCAGAUUCUAAACUUGGGGUUGAUCUCUUUAGGGGAUCUGCUUCCUUGGAACUCCAUAGGGGUUCCUCCCUCCAAGUUGCUGCUCAAAGGCUGC